rnacentral:lncRNA from 1 species
GGGUGCUGAGGGAGGUUAUGCACACAUGGCACAUAGCACAAUGCCUGGCUUACACUAUGGAGUGAGCGUCUAGUAAUUGCCAUUACUGUGGCUGACAUCGUGAUGGUGGUGUCCUGCAUUCUGAUUCCAGGGAUAAUGUCUCCAUCAUCAGCUCCCAGCCUGAUGGCAAUCUGCAGUCUUGGUUGAGCUGUACCCUGUCGAUGGCUACAGACACCAUGCGGACACCCUCUCGACAGUCAGCUACCAGCAGCUGCAUCCGCAGCUCCAGGAUGAAUGCAGAGGCUGGAGAUGCUGAGAGCAGAACCUGGGAUGCUCAUGGCAAGACUUCAAGAGACUACUCUGUUUCUCCCUGUUCUACCCGCCAGCGAAAGUCCUGUCAUUUUGGGGGCUGUGAAGAGUUUGGUGUCCAGAGAAAGCCUAUGGAGAGAUCGGGAGCUCUGUCCACUCGUGAGGCCUCUCGGAGUCCAGACACAUCCCCGCUGCCCAGGGAGAAGCUGCCCAGCCCAUCAGCAGCACUCUCGGAGUUCGUGGAAGGACUUCGGAGGAAGAGGGCCCAGAGAGGCCAGGGCUCCUCGCUGGGCCUGGAGGACUGGCCCACGCUCCCCAUUUACCAGACCACCAGCACUUCCAGGCUCAGGAGGGGCAGGGCGGGCAGUGACGAGGGAGACCUCUCCCUGAGGCUACAGGCCAAGUCCCCCCUGGGGGAGGAGGGGUCCCCUGGCACACCUGCUGGUCUCUUGCGGUCUACCAGCCUGAAGUGCAUCUCCUUGGGGGUUGCUGAGGGCACGAGCCUGGCCCCAGAGAGGCUGAAGACCCGCUUCAGUUCCUGUGAGUCCCUCUUAGAAUCAGAGCCCAGUGUGAGGAGAAAAACGAGCUCCCCCACCACCCCCAGGAACACGCUCUUGUCGCCCACGCUGCGUCCUCGGAGGCGCUGUCUGGAGUCCUCAGUGGAUGAUGCGGGCUGCCCAGACCUUGGCAAGGAGCCACUUGUCUUCCAGAACCGCCAAUUUGCCCACCUGAUGGAGGAGCCUCUAGGCAGUGACCCGUGCAGCUGGAUGCUCCCAAGCCUCAGCUAUGGACGCAAGGCCAGAGUGGACUUCGAUGACUUCCUCCCUGCCAUCCGGAAGCCUGAGAUGCCCACAUCCUUGGCAGGGGCAGCCAAAGAUGGGCAUGAAGGUUCAAAACAUUCAGGUGUCCUCUUUGAGACGGAGGAGGCUGACCGCUCCUUUCUCUCAGGGAUCAAGACCAUUUUGAAAAAGAGCGCAGAGUCCAGGGAGGACCCUGCUCACCUCUCUGACUCAUCCUCAUCUUCCAGCUCAAUCGUGUCUUUCAAAAGUGCCGGCAGCAUCAAGAGCCAGCCAAGAAGCCCACGCCUUGAAGUUAGUGGUGGUGAGCGAAUGUCCGCUGAGAACAGAGAGUCGGGCACAGGAAGGAAAGAUGAUGACGUGGAGAGCAUCAUGAAGAAGUACCUCCCAAAGUAGGAAGGAGUGCAGGUAAAAGUGACAGGCUGGGACCCUCCUUGGGCCUAGAGAGUCCUCCCAGGUCUGGGAGCCUUGCAGAGAACAGGUGCUGCUUCUGCCUUUAACCCCACGACUGCUUGCUCCAGGGUUUUUGGAGAUUUGAGCUGAAAUUAAGUGUUGUUGGAUGCAGGGCUUCUCCGAAGGGGCCGCCUAUUUCACUGCACUUUAAAAUACAGAUGCAUGGGAAAGCAGGAGAGUCCUCGGGUCAUGCUAGAGGAGGUGUCGGGCUUCUAAAGCUUCCCCAGCUGAGUCUCACUUUCCUGUGCCCCUUCCACCUGGGAGUGACAAGGGCUGUGAGGCCUCUGCCACACAGUGGGAGACAUCAUGGAGGCAUCACAGAGCCUCAAGAGGCCUGGUUGGAAGAGGCUGUAGAACAGUGGAGUCCACUCUUGCAUCACAUAAAAAGAGAAACUGAGGCCCAGGGUUGGGAGUAGGAGUCAUGUGCAAAGGUCACAGAGCACCAGUGUGGGAGAAAUCCUGCUUCUGUUUCCAGUCCUAAUACUGGUUCUUCUUUGGAAUAAACACAGAAAGAGGGAUUCCUUGCUAGUAAUGGCUUAUUUUAUUGAGUGUAUGUAUCAGCUAGUCGUUUAGGUUUCAUGAUAUUCCCCAGAUGGGGUCAGCACUAUUUAUUCCCAUCUUUCAGGUUGACAAACUAAGGAUCAGAGAGGUUAAGUCACGUAUACAAAAUCGCCCAGACAGAACUGAGAUUCAAAGCUCAGAAUUCUCCCUUUUACCUCAGUAUUUUUCCUUGGGUGCAUAUUGCAAGUGACUUCCUGAGUGACAUCAGAGCUGCCCAAUAGCCCACAGCACACUUCUAGCUCCCAAUUCUGACUCUCAGAACCCCAGGCUCAGGUGGUCAAGCAAUCACAUACAGUUGCUCAGUAUACACACUGUCACAACCCCCAGACCUCUUGACCAGUGUGAGCUGCACGUCCCUCCUGGUGCACACCUGCUUCUUCGACAGGCAUCCUUAGCCCAUCAAAAAGUGACCGCCUCUCCCUGGAGACAAGCUGGGACUACAUCAGAGCAAAUGAAUUUGACUUAACAUGGCCUUCUCUCUGCUCUCAAUUACCAAGUAAAGAUCUGAUAUUCAUUUACAUUAUUAUGCACUUGGGGACAUGGAAAGCAGUUUCAAAGGCCAAGUGAAGGGCACACGGCCAUAAGGGGAACAGUGCUUAGCAGAAGUCAUCACAGAACAUCUUGUCUCUGCCAUUUUUUUUAAAGUCUCAAGGCCUCUUCCUCCCCUGGGUGAGGUUCUUCUCGGAGGCUUCUCUCCAUCGCAGCAGGGCCCCUGCCUACAGUUGCCUUGGUUUCCCAGUUGCCCCGCUCCCCUCACUGCGCAUGGACAGUGGGCUCUGGAGCCAGAGGAGCCCUCAGACUUGGUCCUUCCCUGUACCCAGCCCUUCAACUUUGUGCAGGCAGUGGCAUCUUGCCAAGCACCUCUGUCCUCUGCUGGAAAUUGGGGAUAACAAUGCCAACCACCUAAAGUCCCUCUGAGGGCUUAAGGAGAGCAUGAGAGACCUCAGCAAAGAGCCUGGUACUCAGUGGAUGCCUUCAUGCCUGGUUAUCUUGUGUUUGGGAAUUUGGGUCCUGUGCCAGUCAGAUUUCCAUUACUGUAACAAGUUCCUGAGAGAAUGGACUUACAAGGAGAGAAGGGUUAUUUUGGCUCACGAUGUUGGAGGUCUGAGCCCAUGAUUGAUUGGCCAUGUUGCUUUCGGGCUUGUAGCAAGGGAGCAUGUGCCAAAACUGCUCACCUAUGUCUGAGGAUAAAACGGUCAGAAGGGAUGCCCUGCCAUAUAAAACAGAAAAUUGUAUAUAACAAUUGCCAUAUCUCCCUGCCAACAGGAUGGUUUUAUACCUGUGAAGGAAUAACCUUCAAUUAUAUUCUGGCCAAUUUGACCAAGACCCAUUGCUGUUUGAGUCGUCUAGCUGUGGUUCUACCAGAUAGAACUGAUUUGAUUAUGCCAAACAGAACUAAACGUUGGUCACCCUAUACUGCACCAGGUUGUGAUGAUGAUGUAGGUCUGUUGACAGAUGCUGAAGUAAUAACUAUGAUAGCAUC